GUAAGGAAUAUUGGUCAAUGGGCGCAAGCCUGAACCAGCCAUGCCGCGUGCAGGAAGACGGCCCUACGGGUUGUAAACUGCUUUUGUCAGGGAAUAAACCCUUCUACGAGUUAGGAGGCUGAAUGUACCUGAAGAAUAAGGAUCGGCUAACUCCGUGCCAGCAGCCGCGGUAAUACGGAGGAUCCGAGCGUUAUCCGGAUUUAUUGGGUUUAAAGGGUGCGCAGGCGGCCUGCUAAGUCAGGGGUGAAAGCGGACAGCUCAACUGUCCAAGUGCCCUUGAUACUGGCGGGCUUGAAUGCAGCUGAGGUAGGCGGAAUGUGGCAAGUAGCGGUGAAAUGCAUAGAGAUGCCACAGAACACCGAUUGCGAAGGCAGCUUACCAAAGUGCGAUUGACGCUCAGGCACGAAAGCGUGGGGAUCAAACAGG
rnacentral:rRNA from 1 species